GUGCUCGCUUUGAUAGCACAUAGACUAAAAUUGAAAUGAUACAGAGAUUAGCAAGGCCCCUGAGCAUGGAUGACACAUAUCAAAAUAAUGGCUACAUAAAAAGU